rnacentral:rRNA from 1 species
CCUACGGGGUGCAGCAGUGGGGAAUAUUGCACAAUGGGGGAAACCCUGAUGCAGCGACGCCGCGUGAGUGAAGAAGUAAUUCGUUAUGUAAAGCUCUAUCAGCAGGGAAGAAAAUGACGGUACCUGAGUAAGAAGCCCCGGCUAACUACGUGCCAGCAGCCGCGGUAAUACGUAGGGGGCAAGCGUUCUCCGGAUUUACUGGGUGGAAAGGGAGCGUAGACGGCAGUGCAAGUCUGGAGUGAAAGGCGGGGGCUCAACCCCCGGACUGCUCUGGAAACUGUACGGCUGGAGUGCAGGAGAGGUAAGUGGAAUUCCUAGUGUAGCGGUGAAAUGCGUAGAUAUUAGGAGGAACACCAGUGGCGAAGGCGGCUUACUGGACUGUAACUGACGUUGAGGCUCGAAAGCGUGGGGAGCAAACAGGAUUAGAUACCCUGGUAGUC